rnacentral:rRNA from 1 species
GAUGAACGCUGGCGGCGUGCCUAAUGCAUGCAAGUCGAGCGAACAGACGAGGAGCUUGCUCCUCUGACGUUAGCGGCGGACGGGUGAGUAACACGUGGAUAACCUACCUAUAAGACUGGGAUAACUUCGGGAAACCGGAGCUAAUACCGGAUAAUAUAUUGAACCGCAUGGUUCAAUAGUGAAAGACGGUUUUGCUGUCACUUAUAGAUGGAUCCGCGCCGCAUUAGCUAGUUGGUAAGGUAACGGCUUACCAAGGCAACGAUGCGUAGCCGACCUGAGAGGGUGAUCGGCCACACUGGAACUGAGACACGGUCCAGACUCCUACGGGAGGCAGCAGUAGGGAAUCUUCCGCAAUGGGCGAAAGCCUGACGGAGCAACGCCGCGUGAGUGAUGAAGGUCUUUGGAUCGUAAAACUCUGUUAUUAGGGAAGAACAAAUGUGUAAGUAACUAUGCACGUCUUGACGGUACCUAAUCAGAAAGCCACGGCUAACUACGUG